AGGUGCAAACACAUAAUACAUGAAGGAAGUUACAAAAACUGUAAAAUGCCAAGCGCAAUAAAUGUUACAAAAUAGGUUACAAAUAAUGGUUGCAGGAGAGAAUUUGGAAAAUGUACAUACAGAAUGCAUCAGCCAAAAAGAAAUAAAUAAAAUACAAAAUCAAAAUCAAAAUGCAACAAGAAGAUGCCUUGCCCUCCACUCGUGGGUUGCCACCUGGAGCCUCCAAGGUGUCUACGUACAAAGGUAACAACAAUGUAGGUUGUUAGCAGCUGAAAUAAAAAAAUAGUAAUAAUAAAAGAAAAUGGAAAGUGAAAUCAUUGAGAAGGAAUUAUUCCCUGACAGUUCGUUAAUGGGGAAAUUGGUAAAGGAAAUAUUCCCUCGCCAGCUCAGGGAAAUUCCGUUAGGAUUAGGAAAUUUGGCGCCAAGAGGUCGCCCCUAACUCCCUAUAAAUAGAGAGCACAGUAGAAGGGCACCCCUCAGAGAGCCUAAAAACUCUACAAGAAUUGAGAGAAAAUUAGAGAGAGCACAGAAACCCUGGUGAAAUUGGGAGAAGUAAGAAAAAAUUCAGAGGAGAGGGAAGGCUCUGCCAGUUUUAAACACACAGAGGGCAUAGAGAAGUGUCAGGAAAAUAGAGAGAUAAAAAUAAAUGCUAGGAAAAUAAGAGGGAUCUGAGAGCAUAGAAAAACUGUGUCCAAAAUCAGGAGAAAAGAGGAAGAAGAGACGGGAAGCGCUACAGAGAAACUCUGCAGAAUUUGAUAGCAGAGAGCUUGGAAACUCAUUCAGAUCCACCAGAGAACCCGCGGACAGAUACAAGAGAGGAGAAUCAAAGGAGGAGGAGCAAAGAAAGGAAGGUGAUCCAGUUAGGCGAGCAGAACAGGCUCACAGAUAGACGGGGCUACAGUGCUACCCUGCCAGUAGGGUGAGUGUUUUUGGGAACGAAGGGUAUUUUUGUGUAGCCCUAGUUCAGUUAUGUAUGAAUAU